rnacentral:rRNA from 1 species
AUGGAAAAAGGGCAAGGGAGCGGAUCGGCGAAGGCGCCGCCAGAGCCGGUCAAGGCGCUGCUUGGAAGGUUAACCCUAGUGGAGGAGGCUGAUGAGGAGUUCGUAUGGGAAGAUGAGGUAACUGAUCCCCCAGAGAAGGCUAAGUGGCUGGCCAUAGCCAAAGUGCAUACAACAAGGGGCUUCAGCUCCAGUGCUCUCUUCGCCGACAUGCGAUCGGCCUGGAAUCCAGCGAGAGAUGUUGUUUGGAGGAGGAUCGAUGGGAACCUCUUCACGAUCCAAUUCGACUGUCUCGGCGACUGG